rnacentral:rRNA from 1 species
GAACGAACGCUGGCGGCAUGCCUAACACAUGCAAGUCGAACGAGACCUUCGGGUCUAGUGGCGCACGGGUGCGUAACACGUGGGAAUCUGCCCUUUGCUUCGGAAUAACAGUUAGAAAUGACUGCUAAUACCGGAUGAUGUCGAAAGACCAAAGAUUUAUCGGCAAAGGAUGAGCCCGCGUAGGAUUAGGUAGUUGGUGGGGUAAAGGCCUACCAAGCCGACGAUCCUUAGCUGGUCUGAGAGGAUGAUCAGCCACACUGGGACUGAGACACGGCCCAGACUCCUACGGGAGGCAGCAGUGGGGAAUAUUGGACAAUGGGCGAAAGCCUGAUCCAGCAAUGCCGCGUGAGUGAUGAAGGCCUUAGGGUUGUAAAGCUCUUUUACCAGGGAUGAUAAUGACAGUACCUGGAGAAUAAGCUCCGGCUAACUCCGUG